UACGUAGGGGGCAAGCGUUGUCCGGAAUCAUUGGGCGUAAAGCGAGUGUAGGCGGUUUGGUAAGUCGGAUGUGAAAGCCCCGGGCUCAACCCGGGAAGUGCACUCGAUACUGCCAAGCUAGAGUAUCGGAGAGGUUGGUGGAAUUCUCGGUGUAGAGGUGAAAUUCGUAGAUAUCGAGAGGAACACCGGUGGCGAAGGCGGCCAACUGGACGAAUACUGACGCUGAGACUCGAAAGCGUGGGGAGCAAACAGG
rnacentral:rRNA from 1 species